rnacentral:rRNA from 1 species
GACCCUAUAGAGUUUAAUAUUUUAUUAAUAAAAUAUUUUUUAGAAUUUUAUAUUAUUUUAUUAAUAAAAUAUUUGAUUGGGGUGAUUGAAAAAUUAAAAUAACUUUUUUUAUAUAAGUACAUUAAUUUAUGAUAAUUUGAUCCAUUUUUUAUGAUUAUAAGAUUAAAUUACCUUAGGGAUAACAGCGUAAUUUUUUUUAAGAGUUCUAAUCGAAAAAAAAGAUUGCGACCUCGAUGUUGGAUUAAAAUUUAUAUUCGGUGUAGAAGCUGAAUUUAUUGGGUCUGUUCGACCUUUAAAAUUUUACAUGAUCUGA